rfam:Schistosoma rodhaini strain Burundi genome assembly, scaffold: SROB_scaffold0000520
AUCCAGCUGACGAGUCCCAAGUGGGAUGAAAUGCGAAUCCUGUAU